UUAAAGACAGUUUCCUGAAUUCUAGACUGGCUUCAAUUCACUGUGGAGCAGAGGAAGGCUUUAGAGUAUUCCUGCCUCCACCUCUGAGUGUUGGAAUUGUGGGUGUUCACUGCCCGGCCAGUGUUCCUCCUGUUCUCCUUUACAGUGUUCCUGGAGACCCAGAAGUGUUCAGCCUUCAGCGUAGGUGUGGGGAGGCAUGCAUGGUCCUUACCCUCAUGGCCCACAGGCUGCCUAGUAACACAGUUAGAGGCCACCAGAGGGAAGUGCACAUGGGGCACAGUGCACACACUUUUAAUCCCAGCUCUCAGGAGGCAGAGGCAGAUGGAUCCCUGAAUCCGAGGCCAGUCUGGUCUAUACAGUGAGUUCUAAGACAGUGAGGACUGUGUAGACCUUAAUUGAAAAACAAGAGAGAAGGCAGCGUAUGUGCAGCUAGGGAGGAGGCAGGAUGCCACAGAGUCUGGAGUACACUGUGGAGGCCCCAUGCCCCGGGCCAUGUCUGAAGUCUGAGUGCCAGCCAGCACAUGGUGAGCAGGGCAGCCUGGCUCCAGGCCUCGGUUUCCAUACUCCAGCACACAGGGUUGGGUCAAAGGUCAUGAAAAGGAGUCAGUUCUGGCCUUGCUUGGAAGGUGUCCUGCUUUCUGCCUGGUCUGAUGGGGGUCCCUCAGGCAGAGUGGGCCUGACGGCCAUCAUGGCCGACACUUUCCCGAUUAGCCACAUUUUUCUCUGCCCGGCUGGCUGCCCCUCCUGCCUUACCAUGUGGCCCUGUGGCUGACAUAGGUAAGGGAGACUGGCAGCCCCUCUGCCAGAGCUAGUGCUGUGCAGAUGAUUGCUCCUGCUCAGGUGUCCUCUUCUGGCCACAAGGUCUGCGUGCCUAAGUGCCAACCAGACAAAGAGCUAGGGGAGACUAUAGGUCCCCCAAGACCCAGUUGCUGCCCAGGUGAGAAGCCCAGGUGAGAGGCCCAGGUGAGAGGCCUAGAGGGGCUGGCUCCAAGGCUGGAUCUUCAGCUCCUCCCAGGGUUUACUCUUACCCCACCUUCCUGGGCUUUCUGCUUUAGGGUUAGGGGCCAGACUGUGGCCCAGGGCUUUUCUGCGGAAGCUAUGGAUGCUGCUAAGUGGUGUCUCGCAGUGGCUGGUCUCCCAGACCUGACAGCUCUUCGCUUGGGGAAUAAUUAAUUCCAUAGCCUGAAAACCCAGGGCUGCAAGUUGCCACGUUACUUUCAAGAUUAAUACAUGCAGCUAAUUAAGAUACAGAGGCAAUGAGCGGCUUGGAGCUCCUAGAACCAAGCAGCGGCCAUGGGAACGGAGAAAGGAGCCAGCCGAGCCUGUAGGCAAGUUAGCUGGGAGACACUGCCAGGUCAGAGGUCAGCCAACAAGGAUCACAGAAGGGGUAGAGUGCAGAGGUCCCAUUCUGGUCCCCAUUCUUAGCAAGAUAGGCUGCUGCUCUUCGCAAAGUACCCCAUUUAUCGUCACAGCCAAGCCACCAGAGAGGGCCUCCUGUUCCCAUUUUACAGAGGAGGAAACUGAAGCUGGGGAAGGGGUGGGGGACAGUGAAGGUGUAGGCAGGGUUGGGGUAGGAGCUGCGGUAGUACUUCAUGGACUUGUGAGUGCAGGAAGCCCUGGGUUGGAUUUUCAACCACGUAUUCCAGAUAUACAGAUUUCUGUGUAUAUACCAGACAUAGUAGCUGAUGCCAGUAAUUUUAUCACUCUGGGAGGUGGAGGCAGGAGGAUCAGAAGUUCAAGGUCAUCUUCUAUUAUGUAAAGAAUUCUAAACCAACCCUGGCUCAAAAUAAACGAAGACUAAAUCUGAGUCUCUCUGAACUGGAAGGCAGGCCACCAAGAUGGGGGGGUUAAGGUUACAACUUGGCUACACCUCCUGGCCACACCUACUUCCUGAAAGCAAGGAGGAGCACUCUGGAGCCUCUAUUACCUCAGCCUCAACUGCUCCACGCCCAGCAGGCUUGGCUGCAAACUUGAGAGGCCGCACUCCGGCAGCCCCGCGUGGGAACCCGGCAGUGGGAGAUGAGGCAUCUCAGGGGUGCUCAUGUAGCCCAGACUAGCCUUGAAUCAGUAUGUACCUAAAGGAGAAGGACCGUGAGUUCUUGAUCCUUCUGCCUCAGGAUCCUGGGGUACAGUGCCUCCCUCUGCCAAGUUCCAGGUUCUCAGGUCUAGCAACUGUGCCUGAAGAAAUCACCCUGCCCUCUCCAGGAGACUUACUCAGAUAAGCAGCUGUCUGAUUACUAACAUCAGGAAUGCCACACCUGCAGUUCCAUCACCGAGCUCUGGCUCAUAGCAGGUGUGUCGAGGGACAUUUUUUCAGUAUUGGGGACUGACUAUUAGCCUCUUGCAUGCUAGGCAAGUGCUCUCCCAUUAAACCACAUCCCCAGCUCA